rnacentral:tRNA from 1 species
UGAUCAGUGCACUGGUGGUGGCACCGCUGAUCGCGGUGAUCGCCGGCAUCAUCACCAUGUUCGGCUUCAUGCUGAUCAUC